rnacentral:rRNA from 1 species
UACGUAGGCAGCAAGCGUUGUUCGGAAUUACUGGGCGUAAAGAGUGUGUAGGCGGUGCUCUAAGUUCGGUGUGAAAUCUCCCGGCUUAACUGGGAGGGUGCAUUAGAAACUGGAAUGCUAGAGGAUGGGAGAGGUAAGCGGAAUUCCUGGUGUAGCGGUGAAAUGCGUAGAUAUCAGGAGGAACACCUGUGGUGUAGACAGCUUACUGGACCAUUUCUGACGCUGAGACACGAAAGCGUGGGUAGCAAACAGG